rnacentral:rRNA from 1 species
UACGGAGGGUGCAAGCGUUGUUCGGAAUUACUGGGCGUAAAGCGUGUCUAGGAGGAAAUGUGUGUCAGGCGUGAAAGACCUGGGCUUAACCCAGGAAUUGCGCUUGAAACUGCGUUUCUUGAGUUGUGGAGAGGUGAGUGGAAUUCCUAGUGUAGCAGUGAAAUGCGUAGAUAUUAGGAAGAACAUCAGAAGCGAAGGCGGCUCACUGGCCAUAUACUGACUCUAAAGCACGAAAGCGUGGGGAGCAAACAGG